AGAGUUUGAUCCUGGCUCAGGGUGAACGCUAGCUACAGGCUUAACACAUGCAAGUCGAGGGGAAACGAUAUUGGAAGCUUGCUUCCGAUAGGCGUCGACCGGCGCACGGGUGAGUAACGCGUAUCCAACCUGCCCACCACUUGGGGAUAACCUUGCGAAAGUAAGACUAAUACCCAAUGACGUCUCUAGAAGACAUCUGAAAGAGAUUAAAGAUUUAUCGGUGAUGGAUGGGGAUGCGUCUGAUUAGCUUGUUGGCGGGGUAACGGCCCACAAGGCUACGAUCAGUAGGGGUUCUGAGAGGAAGGUCCCCCANAUUGGAACUGAGACACGGUCCAAACUCCUACGGGAGGCA
rnacentral:rRNA from 1 species